AUACGGAAGGUCCGGGCGUUAUCCGGAUUUAUUGGGUUUAAAGGGAGCGCAGGCGGCACUUCAAGCGUGACGUUAAAUUUCGGGGCUCACCCCCGUUUUGCGUCGCGAACUGUUGUGCUUGAGUAGGCGGCAGGGAGGCGGAAUUCGCGGUGUAGCGGUGAAAUGCUUAGAUAUCGCGAGGAACUCCGAUAGCGCAGGCAGCCUCCCGUUGCUUUACUGACGCUCAUGCCCGAAGGUGCGGGUAUCGAACAGGAUUAGAUACCCUGGUAGUCCGCACUGUAAACGAUGGAUGCCCGCUGUUGGGCCUUUUGGGUUCAGUGGCCAAGAGAAAUCGUUAAGCAUCCCACCUGGGGAGUACGCCGGCAACGGUGAAACUCAAAGGAAUUGACGGGG
rnacentral:rRNA from 1 species